UCUCAGGUUACACAUUAUCAGGCAGAUAUACUUGAAUCCUAAGCAAUUUCUUGCUCCUAAUUAAUUUAUGAUUAAUGGAUCAAUGAGAAAAGGAUAUAUCCAUUAAUAGUGAGGAUAAAGAACAAUCUAUGGCCCAAAUCCUGCUUUUCUUACUAGCACACAUAGUCCCAUUAACUUCAUUCUAAUUGCACUAGUGGCUACAUUUUCAAAAGAGCUCAGAAUCCAGCUUUUUUCAAUCAAGAAAGGAAGAGACUUGAGGGUAGGAAAUGUGUUUGUAAAGAGAAUAGGCUUUGGCCUCAUAACAGUUGUUAAGAGAAAUUCAGCACAAAAUAUUUCACAUGCACCACUAUUUCACAUGCACCACUAUAGUUACAUAAAUCUGUAGAACCAUGGUAUGCAUUGUUUUGGCAGCAGAGUUGUGGUGUUAACUAAAAUUGAAUGCUUUUCAAUGAGGCGGCCAGUGUGGAGGAGCACACCAAGAGUAUUUGCAGGAUUAUUGUUUCUAGACAAACCCAACUGAUGACAGAGGAGUGACUAUGGCUACUGUAUGCAGAUCACUGAAUCUUGUAAGUUAUUUGACGGACAUUAGUUGGAUAGUGAGCUAGUAUAAACAGGUGGCCUACUCAGGAAGAGAGGUGUAUCUGCUUACGGUUGAAUUUGGCCCAUUUUUAGAGAGAUGUGGUAAUAUGAGUAUUUCUGUAAAUGUGUUUAUAUCAUACUUAGUUUUUAAGUCCUGUUAAAUUUAAAACAAGUUUUGAUGCUAAUUUUUCUUGUUUGUAUUAGCAUCUGUGUAAUAGGAAGUAUACAAUAUCAUAAGUACAGUAUCAGUUGUAUUUUAAUAAAUACUCUAAAGUUAGGCACCGUAGAAACCAUUCAAUAUUGGUAGCCUUUAAUAAUCCAUGUUAAGAAAGCGUAUCUAGGGUACAAUUUUCAAGAGUUCUUAAGUGACUUAGAAGCCUACAUCUCAUUUUCAAAAGUGACUUGGUGCUCAAUCUUCUAGUCUCAUUGAUACUUCUGAGCCUAAGACACAUUUGAAAAUGGAACUUAUUUUGAUUUAAUCAUUCCAGUUUAGAAAAAGAUACAGUUAAUCACUGUAUCUUCUCUUGUGUAGAUGCAGUUAUACUGAUAAAGUAAUGCUUAUAUCAGCUAUACUGAUAGAGUAAUGCUUAUUUUGCAUAAUAUACUUUCUGGGACCCUUCAAAAACAUGUCACUUUUAACUAGGUUUACAGCACAAAACACAUUACUGGUACAGAGAUUUUUACACAGGUAGGGAAACCUGGAAUUCUCUUUUUUGUCACAGAACAUCUGAAAAAGAACUGUCAAGCCAUGCCUGACUCUAGAGGACUGACUAAGUAGGAGAAGGAACAGGCCCAUAACUAGAAUUUGUUUGAUCUCUUCUCUGCAGUUACUUCUUUCUAAAGUAUAUAUAAGAAGGUUUUAAAAUCAUAGCCUGGAACAAAUUAUUUUGUUCCAAAUCUUUCACAAAUGUGGUUUGUUAAAUUAGACCGUGUAUUAAUAUCAAAUAAUAGGCUUAUAAAAGUUUGUGUAUUGUGUAGUUAAAAUGGCAUGAUUUUGUAAUUUCUUUACCUAUGUUAUUAACAUCUUAAUGAAAAUUUGAGUUCUGUUUUUUACCAUGCACUUCAGUUACUGUACUGCUCAUCUUGUACAAUGAAAGUCCGUUUCACUUGCAGGUUCUUGGUGUACCCCGGCUUGUGUUUCAGACACUACAUAAGAAUGUUUAAAAAUGCUGAACACAAAAAACCACCCU